UCUUACAUACAGCGGCCACAAGCGGUCACAUGCUACUCAGGCGGUAUGGAGCAACAGCCCGUGAGCUUUCACAUGCCGUCCAUUCCUGCGGCAGUCCACCAAAACCUCCCCGACCACCACUACCACCAUCACCAUCACCAAUACUGCCGAGACCCUCCGCAGCAGCAGCAGCAGCAGGCAGACGGCGGAGGGGCGUGGAGGCUGGCGCGUCAUGGCUGGCCCGGACAUCGUAUUGAUCAAGAGGAGGAAGCAUCUCGGAGCCAGCAUCCUCCUCCUCCGGCCCUGCCACACCCCUCACCACCACAACUACUGAUACCACCACCAUUACCAGCAGGAUGACUGAGAUGCUUAACACAUGAACUCGUGAAUAAACAGAUAGUGGACCAGAUACGGGAGUGACAUGGAAAUCUAUACUGUUUAACGAUUUGCAUCACCACCACCGGCAUGACAGCUUCUCUGAUGCAUAACGUAUUCACUCUUGAAUAAACGGAUUUAACGACC